rnacentral:ncRNA from 2 species
AUGAAAGUAUAAAGAGAUAUCCUUAAGUGGGUAGCCGUCGGGGAAAUAUAAAAAAGAAGUAUUUUUAUAAAAACUCUCAGGCAAAGGGAUUUAUACUGGAUG